rnacentral:rRNA from 1 species
CCUAAUACAUGCAAGUCGAACGGGAAGCCCCUUCGGGUGGUGGAGAGUGGCGCACGGGUGAGUAACGCGUGGGAACCUAUCCUUUUGUGGGGGAUAACCUUUGGAAACGAAGGCUAAUACCGCAUACGCUCCUUUGUCGUGGUGGCAGGGGAGGAAAGAUUUAUCGCUUAAGGGUGGGCCCGCGUUCGAUUAGCUGGUUGGUGAGGUAACGGCUCACCAAGGCGACGAUCGAUAGCUGGUCUGAGAGGAUGAUCAGCCACACUGGGACUGAGACACGGCCCAGACUUCUACGGAAGGCAGCAGUAGGGAAUAUUGGACAAUGGGGGAAACCCUGAUCCAGCAACGCCGCGUGGAGGACGAAGGCUUUCGGGUCGUAAACUCCUGUCAGUUGGGACGAAAAGGUGUCGGAGAAAUACCCGGCAUCCAUGACGGUACCUUCAGAGGAAGCCCCGGCUAACUCCGUGCCAGCAGCCGCGGUAAU